rnacentral:rRNA from 1 species
CUUGCACUCUUUGGACGUCGACCGGCGCACGGGUGAGUAACGCGUAUCCAACCUUCCCAUUACUGUGGGAUAACCUGCCGAAAGGCAGACUAAUACCGCAUAGUCUUCGAUGAUGGCAUCAGAUUUGAAGUAAAGAUUUAUCGGUAAUGGAUGGGGAUGCGUCUGAUUAGCUUGUUGGCGGGGUAACGGCCCACCAAGGCUACGAUCAGUAGGGGUUCUGAGAGGAAGGUCCCCCACAUUGGAACUGAGACACGGUCCAAACUCCUACGGGAGGCAGCAGUGAGGAAUAUUGGUCAAUGGACGGAAGUCUGAACCAGCCAAGUAGCGUGCAGGAUGACGGCCCUAUGGGUUGUAAACUGCUUUUGUAUGGGGAUAAAGUUAGGGACGUGUCCCUAUUUGCAGGUACCAUACGAAUAAGGACCGGCUAAUUCCGUGCCAGCAGCCGCGGUAAUACGGAAGGUCCAGGCGUUAUCGGGAUUUAUUGUGUUUAAAGGGAGCGUAGGCUGGAGAUUAAGUGUGUUGUGAAAUGUAGACGCUCAACGUCUGAAUUGCAGCGCAUACUGGUUUCCUUGAGUACGCACAACGUUGGCGGAAUUCGUCGUGUAGCGGUGAAAUGCUUAGAUAUGACGAAGAACUCCGAUUGCGAAGGCAGCUGACGGGAGCGCAACUGACGCUUAAGCUCGAAGGUGCGGGUAUCAAACAGGAUUAGAUACCCUGGUAGUCCGCACAGUAAACGAUGGAUGCCCGCUGUUGGUACCUGGUAUCAGCGGCUAAGCGAAAGCAU